rnacentral:misc_RNA from 1 species
UUAAGUUCAGCGGGUAGUCCUACCUGAUUUGAGGUCAAAUAGUCAUGUAUUGUCCGAAUGAACAGACGGUUAGAAGCAGUGCAAACCCAUAUAAUUGUAGGUGUCCACGGCGUAGAUAAUUAUCACACCAAUAGACAGUCCACGCGGGGCACCAGCUAAUGCAUUUAAGGGGAGCUGACCAUCUGUGAAGAAGCCAGCAA